UAAAAAAUUGUGUUUUGUUGGAUUUAUUAUGAAUUUAUUUUACAUAUAAAUUUUAGUAUGAAAAUUUAAUUAUUUUAAUAAUUAUUAAUAAUUUGUAGUAAAUAAAAUUAAAAAUUUAAGAAAUUAAGAUUUAGUAAUAUAUUAAUUAAUAACUAAUUUUGUGCCAGCAGUUGCGGUUAUACAAAAAUUAAAUUAAAUCUUUAUAGUUUAUAAUAAAUAUAAAUAAUUAAGUUAAAUAUUAAAUUAUUAAGUGAAAUUUUAAUUUAAUUUAAAUUUAUUAAAAAUAUAUGAUUUAAUAAAUUUUAUAAUAAACUAGGAUUAGAUACCCUAUUAUUAAAAAUUAUUAUUAAAUACUAAAAUAGUAAAUAUAAAAUAUUGAAACUUAAAUAAUAUGGCGGUAUUUUAGUUUAUUUAGAGGAAUCUGUUUUAUAAUUGAUAGUACACGAAUAAAUUUACUUAAUUAAAAAUUUUAUAUAUCGUUGUUAAAAAAAUAUUUUUAAAUAAAAAUAAUAUUUAAAAUUUAAAAUAAAAAUUAAUUCAAAUCAAGAUGUAGAUUAUAAUUAAGAAAAUAUGGAUUACAAUAAAUUAAUUUAAAUGGAUAAUGAAUUGAAAAAUGAUUUUAAAUUUGGAUUUAAAUGUAAUUUUGAUUAAUUUAUUAAAAUGAUUAAUAAUUAAAAUAUGUACAUAUUGCCCGUCACUUUCAUUUAAAAAUUGGAAUAAGUCGUAACAAAGUAGAAAUACUGGAAAGUGUUUCUAGAAUGA
rnacentral:ncRNA from 1 species